rnacentral:rRNA from 1 species
UACAGAGGGGGCAAGCGUUGUUCGGAAUUACUGGGCGUAAAGGGCGCGUAGGCGGCCGUCUAAGUCAGACGUGAAAUCCCUCGGCUCAACCGGGGAACUGCGUCUGAUACUGGGUGGCUUGAAUCCGGGAGAGGGAUGCGGAAUUCCAGGUGUAGCGGUGAAAUGCGUAGAUAUCUGGAGGAACACCGGUGGCGAAGGCGGCAUCCUGGACCGGCAUUGACGCUGAGGCGCGAAAGCCAGGGGAGCAAAGCGGGG